rnacentral:rRNA from 1 species
GAUGAAUGCUGGCGGCGUGGAUAAGGCAUGCAAGUCGAACGGGUCGCAAGACCAGUGGCAGACGAGGUAGUAAUAUACAGGUACGUACCGAGAAGUCGGGCAUAGCUAUUCGAAAGAGUAGGUAACUCCCGAUAGUCUUUCCGAAGUAAAGGAGCAAUCCGCUUUUUGAACGGCCUGUACUGCAUCAGCUAGUUGGAGUGGUAACGGCACACCAAGGCUAUGACGCAUAGGGGAGCUGAGAGGCUGACCCCCACCGAUAGCACUGAGACACGGGCUAUACACCUACGGGUGGCUGCAGUCGAGAAUCUUCCGCAAUGGACGAAAGUCUGACGGAGCGACGCCGCGUGGUUGAUGAAGUCCUUCGGGACGUAAAAACCUUUUAUGAGGGAGGAAGUUAUUGACGUUACCUCAUGAAUAAGGGGCUCCUAACUCUGUGCCAGCAGGAGCGGUAAUACAGAGGCCCCAAGCAUUAUCCGGAAUCACUGGGCGUAAAGGGUGUGUAGGCGGUCAUAUUAGUCUUUCGUGAAAGCUUUUGGGCUUAACCCAGAAAACGCGGGAGAAACGGUAUGGCUACGAGGACGCGAGAGGUAGAGGGAACUCAUGGUGUAGGGGUGAAAUCCGUUGAUAUCAUGGGGAACACCAAAUGCGAAGGCACUCUACUGGCGCGCUCCUGACGCUGAAACACGAAAG